AUGGGUCUGGGAUUGGGAGCGCCGUUCUUCCUCCUCGUCCUUCUCUUGCUGGCCGCCGGCUCUGGAGCUAUGCCGCAGGACAAGAGGAUUCACAGGAAUUAUGUUCUUCUCGAUCUCGAUACAAUUGAGAUCCGCCCAAAUGGCAAGGAGGAAAUUAGUUCUAGCAAAAUUCAUGUCUCUGUUGAGAGUGGCAGCACAAUAUGCUCAACUUGCGAGAACUUGACAAAUAAAGCUGUCAGUUAUCUUAGUGAGAAACAAACACAAGAUGAGAUCAUGGAGAUUCUUCAUGGUGCCUGUUCUCAGACAUUCUCCUUAGAACAGAAGUGUCUUGAGAUGGUGGACUCCUAUGCAACUCUGCUCUUUGCCAAGGUAACUGAAAUCAAGCCAGACGAGUUCUGCAAACGGUAUGGCCUCUGCAGGGACGUAUCGUUUCUGUCUGUUGCGAAAAGUGAAAGCACUUGUGCAUUUUGCCACCACCUCGUCGAUGAAGUUCUCUCGAAAAUGAAAGACCCUGACGCGCAGUUUGAGAUACUUCAACUUCUCAUCAAGGAGUGCAACAAGGUUAAAGGUCAUGUGCAGGAGUGCAAGAGAAUGGUUCUGGAAUACGUCCCCCUCAUCCUGGUCAACGGCGAGAAGCUCCUCGAGAAGAAGGAUGUAUGCACUCUUAUGCAAGCCUGCGACGCCAGCAAAACGAGGGCCGGCGGAUCGUUCUUCGAUGGGGAACUGCGGAGCGAUGCUUGA
rnacentral:rRNA from 1 species